AUGCCCAGCAGAGGUGGGCAGGAGGUGGGGGUGAGAUUUAUUUUUUUCCCAGAGGGAAAUAAGCACAGCAGGCUUCAGCACGGUGCUGCCCAUGGCUUGAGGAAGGGGAAUCCUCCAGGCUGGGGACAGCAUGGGAUGCGAAGGCAUUGCGCAGGUAAGAUCUGCAUGGGGACAGACCUUCGGGAACGAGUGUCACCAAGCCCAGUGCAAGCAGUGCCCACGUCCCCAGGAACUGGGGAGCAGGUCCUGAGCAUGCCACACACUCCCCCAGGCUAUAAACCUGUCACCAUCAUCCCCCUGCUCCAUCCCUUGUCACAGGGUGGGACAGCUCUGCAGCAGCUCUGUGGCCCCGGAGCACCAGAGACCACUGCUCUGCUGGCUGUCCCCUCGCCAUGGAGCACGGUGUGGCACGGCCUGGCUGUGGGGACAGGCAGGGGCACCCCAGCUCCCCAGCAUCCCCUCCCCUUGCUGCCGCUAGAAGGAUGCCCGAGCGCACGGUGCCUGCUGCAGGCAGAGGACACGGGGACGCAGGACGGCAAUGUGACCUUGGCUGCGGGUGCCGGGCACGGGGUGGGAUGGGAGGGGACAUCUCCUCCCCGCCCUGCCAGCCCUGCUGCCGGCACCCCGUGGCCGAGGGACCGGGCGCAGAGGGCACAGGGGGAAGCGGACACGGUGCCGGAGGGGCGCGGGCGGUGGGGCAGGAGGAGCAAAGCCUCUCCCGGUGCCACCAGGGCAGGGAGCGGUGGGAGCCGGGGGGCAGCCCCGGGAGGAGGAAGGGGCCGUGGUCCCACACGCGGCCCCGAGCGGCGGUGCUAUAUUUAUUGCACGCGGGCCCGGGUCUCGGCCUCUCGCGUUGUAACACAAGCCCUGCAGCCCGCGAGAAUCCGAGGGGACGGCACAUUCCUCAGCAAAAAUAACCCCCCGGCAGCAGGAGAGAGGGCAGGGGUGGAGGUGACUGACUGGACAGCUGCACACGCUGCUCCCCUGCCCGGUCCCCUGUGCCCCAGGAGGGGACCCGGCCCCAGGGGCCACCGUGCAAGCCCCAUGCCCAGGUGGCUGCAGGCAGAGCCACCUUGGGGAUAUCCCCAAGGGACCCGUCCCCCCUGCACAGCCCGGCCUGGGGACCUGUCCCUGAAACCGAGGUGGCACCAGUUGUGCCAGGCUCAGGUGGGAUAUGGCAGCCCCCACAGACACGGAGCCCACCCCACGGUGGGGCCAGGGUGGGCACAGCAGCCCCGGCUGGGACAUGGGGCAGAGCUCCAAGGGGAAACUGAGGCAGCCCCAGAGAGUGCCAUGGGAAGGAGGUGA
rnacentral:lncRNA from 1 species